UUGCGUGAAAAUUAGGGUUUAGUGAUGCCUCAUUUCUCCUAUAUAUACGUUACGUCUGCAUAUCUCGUCUCAAUACAAUCGUAUAUGCUCAGCCUCCAUCCUCAACCUGUUUGUUUAUGGAACAAACCGCUUGCAAAGGCAGAGUAUCAGCUCUGCCAUUGUUUGAUUUGUUUCUCUUUCUGUCGUGGAAAAAAUGGUAACUCAACUGGAUUCCUACCCCUGCUGUCACCGCACGUGGCCCAAGAUGCGAUUCCAAUGUGCUAUUGGCUUCUCUAUGCUUUUCCUGCUACUCCAUGGAUAAGGAAUUUGGUUUUCAAGGGAUUUACAUGACUCUUCAUUGGUUUGGAAUGUACAAUUGUUAUGUUUCAGUAAAUUUAAUGUAAUCUUAGAUUUUGCUGCUGUAUUCAGAUUCAAAAGCAAGCAUGCUAUUGUACAUAGAAGUCUCUUUCUAUGCGUGUUACAAUUACCUCGAUGUUUGAAUGGUAUACCUCCUUUCUGUCGCAAUGUAGUUUUGUGGUUUAGUUUAUCUGAAAUUUUGUUGAUAAUCACAA